AUCUUUACUGUGAAUUUAGUAAUUACUAAUUUGAAGAUAGUUUAACUUAAACUGAUCAUAAACCGCCUAAAAAUGCAUACAAUAUUUUAUUUUCUAAGGCAUCCUACAUCUGUAGGUUUCAUAGUACUACCAAUAACUAAUGAUAGCUCAACAGUACUCUUAGAAAUUCUAAGCUUGAAAAUAUCAAUCUAGUUUUUUUUAAUUCUGUAGUUAUUUAAAGCCCUGAAUUUUAAUACUUGCUUGUGUGUGUUGACUGUAGGCUAGAGAAAACAACCGAGACUUUUUUUUUUUAAGUGGGUGAUGCCAAACUGAACAUACCAAAACAAAUGUAUUCUUGCACAAGAGCUCAUGAGGGCCAUGAAGUGAUAGUUAACAUGUAACGAUUGUAACCAGUGAACUAAAUUAGUAGCUAUACACACUUAAUGAACUAAAUAAGACACUGGAAAAUGUGCUAAAGAGAAGGGACAGUGCUUUUCUCACGUUGGUGUGGCCUAGCAAUACCGUGAACUUAUUUUCUUAUGUUAGAAUUAUAGGCAAUACCUAGGGUCACGGACUCCGCUAAGGACGUUCUCCUUAAGAAAAGGUGUAUCAAGAAAGGACACCUUGCUACCCAGAUUCUGGAUAGUGUGCAUCGCUCCUUUAAAAAAAACAUGUAACUGAUGGAAGUGGAUCCACCUAAAGAAGUUGAGGGAAAUCUUAAGACUACCAAAUACCUCUCAGAAAGCAAGGUCACAGCGGCUUGGAAAUGGCCCCUGCUGUCCUGUUUUCCUUCCCCCUACUCUGUCUGCAUUGCUUUGGGUCAUUCAAAAAACAUCGGAGCCUGUGUUACCUGUAUUUCCCUGGCGUGGUACACGAUGAUCAGACCGAGCAGGAUGAUCGUGGAGAGACUGAUAAGGCAUUUCAGAGCUAAUGAAUACAGCGACGCCUGCAACACAGUUAGAUGGAACACUUUAAGAGAGAAGCACUUUUCAACCACCUUCCAGGCCAUAGGAGUCAGCUCCGAGCACGUGGACCUGAACUCAAGCAGGCAACCAACACAAGAGAGAAUAUAACAUCUGUUUCCUACACUGCAUGCUCGGAGCAGAACUUGGAACUAAAAGGUCUUUUGUGUAUAUGUUAUGACUUCCAUUCAGUGUUUUGAUCAUGCUGGAAGGUACAAACCCGACAACCUACAGCAAUAACCUGCCCACAAGAUAUGCUGGUGCAACAGUAGAACACAUGUUACAGGAGUAGCCAACCAUAUUUUGAUUGGAUUUUAAAUUAUUUCUAUUUUAUGUGUAUGGCUAUUUUGCUUCCACGUAUGUCUGUGUGCCACUUGUAUGUACGGUGCCAGUUGAGGCCAGAGAACAGUAUCAGAGCCCCUGGAACUGGAGUUACAGUUGGUUAUGAGUCACCAUGUGGAUGUUGAGAAUUGAACCUAUGUCUUUAUGAAGAACAGUCAAUGUUGUUAAUAACUAAACUAUCUUUCCAGCCCCAAUUAUCACAUUGUUUACUUUUAUAAAGAAUGCUGUUGUGAAUAUAUUUGUAUAGAUUUCCUAUAUUUUUUAGUUUUAUGGGAAUAUAGUUUCAGAAUUAUGAAGUCUUCUGUAAGACUAUUUUAAAACUCUUGAGAAAUCUCUAUUUCCCAGAAGCUUCAUACUAAAACAUAUCCUCAGGAGAAAUCCUUAUUUAAAUAUUCCAUCCUUAGUUUUUACCAUAAUCCUUCAUUGGUUUAUUAUGCAUGCUAAUAUUCAAUCAUCCUUUUGAACUUUUUGAAAUAUGUAAAUAAUCUUUUGUAACAAUUAAGAAAGGUAGAUAAAACUACUUAUUUGAAUAAUAAAUCUAAGGCCCAGGAACCUGAUUCUUUACAUAAAAAUUAUUUUGAAAUACUAAAAUAAAUUAGUAAAUCUAUUAGUAAAGCUUAAAAAUCUGAACAUUUUAUAGCUUGACAGAUACCUUAUUCUUCCAAGUAGCUAAGGAGCAAAUACUAUCCACAGAGAGCUGUUGAAAUAAAGUCGUUGCCAAGCCUGCAUGGAAACAGAAUCAUGUCUGAAAUGCUUGUCUCAAUCUCUCGGUUAAAUGAAAUCAUACAGAUUAUACAUGUGAGUGAAUAUAGAAUGUCAUAUUUUCAUGUCAAAAUAUGAAAAAAAGUGUUUUCAGACGUCAAAAACAAUUCCAUUAACUCUUGCCCUUGAGCUUCUUGGUGCUUAGCUUAACUUCUAACUGCCCUUUCUAGUCGAUGACAUUAACAAAAGCCCCGGGAAGCUAUGAAUAGCAUCAUUCACUCUCAAGUUCUUCUGCUCCUCCCUACCAGUACUCAAGGCCUUCCUUAGUAAUGCACUUGGGCCAGAUGGCCUUCAGCCCAACUCCUUGUAAAUAUUCUAUUUUUAAUGAUAAUAAUUAGAAAAAUAUAAUUUUCCCUUCUACAAGACCCUUUCUACAGAGACCUCUUGGUGCUUCACAAAUAAUAAUUAAGCCUUAGGAAGGUGACCUCUUUUUCUGCUCACUAAAUGCCUAAGGGUUUCUCUUAAACCAUUUUUUAAGAUUAAGUUCAAAUGGCAGCAGAAGUAAGAGUUUAGACUCCUUUCUUCCACCUAGAGCGUCUUCAGGACACUAGAUGAACUCACACUUUUAACUAUUCUGGCCCUAAGAGCCACGAGCAGAAAAAUCCUAAAUUCCUUUUCCAGGGCUGUGAUGACUUAUUUGUAGCUCUAGUAAAACUUCCUGAUGUUUAGAGCAGGUUUUCAAACAGAAAACAGACCAACUAAGUAAGGGCUUAACCAACGGUCCUUAACCACAAAAGUGCUUGGGCAUAAACUUCAUCAGCUCUACCAAGGUGGGGGUAAGUAGAAAGAGGCAUAUUGACCUUUACUAAUGUUUAUUUAAAGUAUCGUUUCCUUUGACUACUAAUACCACAGACUUACUUGUAGUAUUUAUGACAUUGUCACCAGUAGAUAUCACCAAUAUAUUUCAUAUCACUGUAGAUACUUUAAAAUAAAAUGUUUAUGCACAUUGCUACAUUGUAGAUAGUCCAUCUUAUCCUGGGUUUUAAUUUAAAAGUUCACAGAUUGCUAUACUGUAUAUUUAAAAUGUUUAAUAACUAUAUUUCAACCAAAUAGUUUUCUUUUAUAAUUUCAGCUACUUUAUGAAUCAAAAAAUAAUUCUAGUAUAAUAUCCAGUCUUCUCAAUCAUGUGUGGAAUAUUCUCUAGGGUAGACCAUAAGUUGAGUCACAAAGCAAGUCUCAAUAAAUUUAUUUACUUAUUUUAUUAGCUUUAUUAUAAAACAACUUUCAAGUAAAUAAAAACACCACACACCACAAUCAACUAGACUCAAAGUCUGUAGAACUCAAUGAAAUUCAGUACAGUUAGAGUAGGCUGUGGUGCUUCCAAUUAAAAUUUACACGUGCAGUAUAAAAUAUAUUGUAUGCACCUAUCCACCACCAACCAAACCAAAUCAAACCAAACCAAAAACAAAAUAAAACACAUCAUGACAGAAUUAGAACUAGGGAAACAUUUAGCUAAAACUAACUCUCAAAAAAUUUAAAAGGACUAUGUAUAAAGUAACUUCUUCCGCAGCCGGGGACUGAAAGUACAAAUCACCAACAGAUGUGGAACUGGAAAACACAUACAUACAUGGAAAGAGAUAGUCAGAGAAGAAACAACAAAGGAAAUCAGGAAAUGUUUAGAGAAAACUGAUACCUGACCUUACUGGACACAGCAAUGUCUUUCCUCACAGUUGAAGUUACAACUCCCAAUAAUAGCAUGAGUGAAAAUGACACCUCAAAUCAAGAAUAUAGUAGUGCCUCUUCCAGAAUCAGGAAAAGAAGAGCAAGUUAAAGCCAAAGAUGAAAGGAGUCUGAAAAUAAUAGACUAGAGUGUAGAUAAAGGAAAUACCACAUGAAAACAACAGAAUCAAUGAAACCAAAGUACAACUAUUUAAACACAGGGCAAUGAAAUGAAAAUGUUUAGAUAAUAAAUGUUCCAAUGGGAUAGGGGAAUCAAAGAGAAACAUUGAAAAAAGUAAAGUUAGAAACGAAUAUGUGAACAUUAUUAUAAAAGUAAGAGAAAUAUAAAAGAUCAUAAGGGGCUAUAUAAAUAACUAUUUCAGCACAUUAAAAACCUACAUGAACAGGAAUUCUUAGAAUUACACAAAGUAGAAAACUUGGCUGAAGAAAAAUUUAGAAAUCUGAGCACAUUCAUAAAGAGAGACAGAGAUUUAAUCAAUAAUCAAUCUUUCCACAAAUUAAACGCAGCACCAAACUUCACAAGAAAAUUCUACUGAAGAGAACAGUCAAAAUGAGGGCCGAUCUAAUCUUCCUCCCCCAAAAUAAAAAUUGGAGUAGACAUGUAUAAGGCCUGUAUUACAUUGAUGCCCAAUCCAGGACAGAAAAACAAAGGAAAAAUAUUUGUGCUUAAGAACAAUAAGUUCAGAAAAGCUAUAGGAUCAAAGAUUAACAUGUAAAUGUAGUUGCAAUCUACAUUAUAUCAAUGAAUGAUGCCAGAAGAGUAAGAAAAUCAUCCUAUUUAAAAUAAUAUCAAAAAAUUAAAAUAUGCAAGAAUAAAUACAAGCAAGAAAGACAAAGAUUGUACAGUGCAAAUGACAAGGUAUUUCUCAAGAAAAAUGUAGAAGACACAAAUAAAUGAGAAGAUGUCCCAUGCUUAUGGAUUGGAAGACAUAGUUCCAUUAAGAUGGUGCCAUUAACUAACAUGAUUUACAUACUGGGUAUCUAAAGUCUACCUACUCUUUUUGUAGAAAUAGCUGCAUACUUUAGACUUAGCUUAGACCUAGCAUGCAAAGUCCAAGGUUUAACCUCUAAUACUACAAGGAAUAGAAAAACAGAUUCCCAAAAUCAUGUAUAAGUCAAAUAACUGUUCAAAUAGCUGAAUAGUCUUGAAUUCAAACAGUAAUAGUGAUCAAAGCAGUGUGGUAUUGGAAUAAAGCUAUAUAUAUAUAUAUGGAUGUAAAACACUCCAUAAAUGGGCCAUAAAUUCUAUGAUUAGUUGAUUUUCAACAAGGCUGAUCAAGGUGUUUGAUGGGGAGAAAAUUACUGUGGGUAACUGAACAAUUGUGGAUACACAUUGAAAAGAAAGGAAGAAGCUCUCUCUUAUCCUGUAUGGGAAACAGCUAAAUAUGAACCAAUAAUGUAAAUAAGGAACUAUAAUCACAGAAUUUGUAAAAACUAUGAACCUUGGAUUUAUCAAUGGAUUCUUAGACAACAAAUAGAACAACAAAUAGAAAAAGAGAUAAACUGGA